rnacentral:lncRNA from 1 species
CCAUAAGACUGGCAAGCUAGUAGCUAGCUGUCACCAUGUCAGCACCAGCCAUGCAUGCCCUGGUAUAAUGUCAAGUUUAGGGGACUUGAUUUCAAGUAUAUUUGUUGACCAAGAAUCUUGGGCUAUAUCUAGUUUCCAUUGAAAUUUCAAGGAAUUGAAGUUCAUUUUCUGGAGACCAUCUUGUAGGCAGCCCUAGUCAAGUUAUUUCUUAACACUAAAUUCACCUCCCAAAGCUAGCCCUAACCAUAUUGCAUACUUCAUUAUGUUAACAAUUGUACCACUUUAACUUGUGUUCAUUUUAAAUGAGAGUGCAACCAUUGAUGUCAUUAUGGGAGGCUCUGAAAGUAGGUCAGAAUUGAUCAGGUGACUAAUCCCAGGAUACAAAUCAUGUUUACCCAAAGCAGAGAGGGUACUGCCAUUUGUAAGAAUAGCCUAGGAGGAGUACAUUGUCAAGUUCAGAGGAAUUAAGAAGAUUGCAUCCUUGGCUCAGGCUCAGAGAUUACACAAAAGUCAACCAGGGCUUCCAAGGCCUUUCCCAUGACUGAGGGAAUCUGUGUCAUCUUGAAGGGAGGAAUAGUUGUAUUGUAUAUUACGUAGCCUCUUGAGGAGCCAUUAUUGGUUGUCAUUUUCAUUGGCCCGUACUGGUGAUACAUCUUUUCAAAGUCUGGCAAGAGGAAUGGGAUCAGGUUAGUUCAUUAGAAGACACUAACUGGCUGCCAUCUCUCUCUUUCUCUCUAUCACUUCUGUACUAGCUGGCAAGUCCAUCUUCAUAACAUGCUGCCUAGGAGGCUCAUCACUGUGGGGGGAGCACAAUCUUAGGUUUUCUGGUGUUACAUUACUACAUUACCAAACUGAAUAGGAAACAGAAUUGUCAUUCCAGUACAUGACUUGUAUGUGGAGGCAUCUACAGUUAGACAGACUGUCUCUGCAUCAACCUCUGAGUCACUCAAUGACUCUGGAGUGUCAAGGAAGUGGUCAGCUAGUGUCCCUUCCAAGAUUCUAUUCGGGAGCCCUCUUUAACCCUCCCUGUCUUACAGAUGGUCUUCAUAGUUUCUUAAUAUCUCCUCUAUCUUAUACCAACUAGUCAGUUCUUCAGUGAGCAACUGGCAUUCAUCUACAUUGCCUAGGUGUGUGCAUGCAUGUGUGAAUACCUGCAGUUUAUUAAGAGACAUGGUUCAGUAACUCCCUCAAUGGUGCUUAGUCCUUUCUGAGUGACUUUUCUAAGGCUCUUAUUUACAACUUAGGAAUUAAAUACUGGUUUUUUUAUUUUCUGAAAAUCUCCCAUUUCACAGGACUUCGUGGACUAGUUUUUAUGAAGAGUGACCUGCCAUCCAAAUAGCCAGCCAUGCUGCCCGCAGUAAACACCCCCAAGACUUAUCCUAUCUAUGAUGUGGGACUUUAAUAUCUAAUCAUUUUAUUUACACUAGAAGUCUAUGGUGGGUUUUGUGUCAGAUGCUGAGUAACAGUUGUCAUGGAAAUAAGAGCAAAUAGCCAAGGUGCACUCCCACAAAGCCUACAGUAGCAGUGUCAUUGGGAGUCAUGAAAAGUAGGAGAUAUGUGAGCCCUUAUUGCCUGUUACAUGCUAAGGCUGAGCACAGAGAUCAAACAAGACUGAGAAUCAGACUCUGGGCCAGACCCUACCCCUUGGUCUGUGGAACUUUUAAAUUAUAUGACAACAACAUGAAAAAAAAGCAUAAGUGCAUGUUGGAGUGAUGAGGGGCCAGCAUAUAUUAAACAUAUAGCUUGGUAAAAUCAUGUCUUUAGCCAUCUCCUGCCAGUUCCUGCCAGCUCAACUUCUGUGGUUGUGGGUGAGAAACAGCCCCUCCUCUACACAAUCAAGGGAUCAGUCCCAAGCCUUGUAGUUGCAGUCAUAUGGCAUGGCAGCUGGCAGCAGAUAUCAUCACAUCAGUAUCCGUCGUUGAGGAAACACCAGUCUUAUUUUUCAGUAUUGUCAGAGGUGGACCAAAGUCCAGAUCAUCAUUGAUUUGCCCAAGAACUGGACAAUGCCUAGUUUCUAUGGAUCUUGAGAGGGCCACCUUGCAAGAUCAGUCUAGAAUAAAUUAACCUUUAUCUCUCAGAAGGCUUAAGGAACAAGUUGAAAAUUGUCUUCAGAGUUUAACCAAGUUACUGAAAUUAAUGAAGUAAAAUACAUUAAGAGAUGGUAAGUCAUAUGGUGACCUACACAGGAACCAUUCAAAUGAGGAAGUCAUUGCCAGCAACAGCCAUUAUAGCCCUGUGGGAGUGUGGACCUAGUGUUGUCAAAUCUUCCUUUUAUCAAGAAAAUAAUAAAAAUGACUAAUAUGAAGUUUGAUAUAAAGUGUAGUUUUUACAACAAAAUCCUUCUUCAGACUGGCUUGAGUUCUUAGAUCACUAGUUAGCAAACCUCAAUAGCAAAUAGCUUGUUAUAAAGUUCUGAAGCACCUAAACAAAGGAAAAAAUAAGGAGAAUGCAGGCCAAGGCCUGUUUUAGGUCCUCCAAACCUCUGUUCUUUAAUGUAUUGCUUAGGAAAGCACUCUGUGAUUCAUUCUAUUUGAGUAGCCCCUUUUUAAGCCUAAUCAGCUCCGACUAACCCUGUAAAUCUGUCUUUUUCUUUGAGAAACAGGCUUUAUAUCUUCUUGGAAGACUCGGUACAUUUUAUUGCUGCCAAGAUUCCCUAUGAUAUUUCAAAUAUAUUAUUUGCUGCCUUCUUGUUGUUUUUGCAGGUUUGUUUAUGCUACCAUAAACAUGAAUGUGGGACAAAAGAACUUGUUUAGAUAAAGUUCAGCCCUCUAAAGCUAAAUAUGGAGUAUUAUUACAAAGUACUGUAAAUAAUGUCAUUUCAUCCUUGAGAUGUAAGAAAGGGGUGUGGUGCUGGGCAUGCUUGAGUGACAGCUCAAUCUCUUUUCAUCAGUUUAUCAGUUUCUUGUGGGUUAUCUCAGGGGCAAAGUGAAAUGAUUAUGGAGAAGAAAUAGGUCUCAAAAUUUAGCUAGGGUUUUUGGGAUAUGUAGUUACUUGCAUAAUCAUCAACAAUAUUUUUAAUUUUAAUUGUCAGCUAUGCUAAAUAAAGGAGAAUGCAAGAUAAAAAUAGACACAAAAGAACAAAAAAGUACAAGAUCCUUUAAAGAAAGCAUGUAGUCAAAAAAAAUGAGUAAAAUCAGAUGGAGAUAGGAAUUCAGGGAUCAUUACUUUGAGGCGGGAGGUGUUAUAAAUUCAAGGAUCAUUACCUUGACAUAGGGAAAGGGAGGAAGAAAGAGUUGAGGAAAAGAAAACAAGUGAGGUUGUCUACACUAAGACACUGGCAAACUGUUUGGGCAAAAGUUUGCAAUCUGCAAGAUUGCAAAAACAUCCAUUUCAGAGGUGGGAAAAAGUUUUGGGUGGGUAGGCUUAUACUGGAAUGUAUGGUCUUCUCUUCCUGGGCUCUUAGCCAGAGAAAGUUAAAUUAUUUAAUUGUUCAACUCAUUAGCAAGAAUUUCUUGAGGUCUUAUAAGUUCCAAGCACAAUGCCUGGCAUUCAAUGUUAAAAAAUAAAACAAGCCAACCAAAAGUAUAGGGUAUAGUCUCUGUCUCUAAAAGUUUGCAAGCUACUUGUAUGUAGUUGUCUACUAAUAAGAUGCAGCAAAUUAGUAUAAAUCACACAUGCAAGAGAGGAAAAGGUUACCUAUGGCUUUUACCCUUAGUCAGCAUUACUGUAUUUAGAAAUCUUGUUAGCUAUAGCGAGAUGUAUGCAUGUGGAUAGGAUGGUGGCGGGCAGUGGCAGUGAAGGUGGUAGCAUUUGGGGUGAGGGACAUUUAAAUUUAAAUUAGGAAAAUUGCAAAGAUCAUAGAGAAGGAGAUUUGUGGGUUUAUGUUGUUUCUGUCUGCUAGAAUUGAAGUCUCUAAAGUCUGUCUUUUCUUUCCAAAACAAUGGGUGAACAGUUAUGCUUGCAAAUCAUGGAGCAAGUCAGAGAGAGGAGGGGGACCAGUUGUGUCUAAAUAUGCAGUCCACUCACAAAGACAGGUACACAUGAUGCUCUAGGGUGACCAAGUGUGCCAGUAAGAGGAGAAGUGGGAGAUGGUGUGAUCUGGGUGAUGGUGACCUUGUGAUUGUGAGACCAGGACAAAGCAUAUAAGAUGACCUGAGCUCUGCCAUUAGGGGGCAGAUAGUAGAAGAAAAGAAACUUCUUGGCUGGUAGAUACAGAACCUGCCAAGGGAACAAAUGAAGAGGGAAAAGGAAGUAUCACACUUCCUCACUAAAUGGCUAUCAGGAAGCAAAAAUUUGGAGAGGAGAAAUCAGAAAUACCAUGCAUAUGACUCAGAGAGGAGGAAAAAAGAGCCAGCAAUGAGAGUAGAGCUAAAGACAAAAAAAAAAAAUUUCUCAUUAGAAUGGAAAACUUUUGGCAUAAGAUGGCUAGAAGGGAGGAGAGUCAAAGGGAUGCUGUCUUAUGAAUAGGGAGGAACAGGGACACUGCACAGGCAGACAGAGCAAGGCCUGUGAGACUGCUGGGUGGAAGUGGUGGACCAAGAUGAAACAACAUCCAGCGGAGAAAGUGAAAGAAGACAGAGGAUAGAGGACCUGACUCUCUGGUUCUCCUCCUUUCCCAUAUCUCUUCCUUAAUUAAUUCCUUUGUGAUGCAUAUCCCUACCUUCUAACAUCCUGCAUUUCUUUUUCUCUUGAAGAGUUUGUAGAGUCCUUUGGGAAUUGGGUAUAUUUAGAGUCAGAGUUGAUGUUCACAAUAUUUGCAUAGGUUGCUCAUACAAUCUAGUAUUGUCUUAUUUGAAUUGGAUU